ensembl:lncRNA
GGCUAGAGUGGCAAAAGGAUAAGACUGAUGAGCUCACCAAAGAAAGAGACUAUCUAAAGGAGCAAUUAGCAGCAUCUCUCUCAAAGGAACCCACAAGUUCUGUCCAGGAUUCCAGUGAGGUAUUGGGCAUAUCUUCACUGUCCUCUGAUGGGUCUUUUGAUGAGAGUUCUGACUCCUCCAUGAGCACAACUGCAUCAGAUGAAGAUAGGAAGAAGAGGAAGAAGGGCAAAGCAAAAAAGCACAAGAAGUCAAAGAAACGUGACCAAAAACAAAGAAAAAGAGUCCAGAAUCCUAAGCAAGUGGUCACCGGUAUAACAAGAUUUUGAGGCUGUUCAAAAGAGGAGGGACCAUGUCUGCUGCCUUUAAACGUCUGGGAGUGGACGGAACACAAUUGUGGCAACUGCUCCAAUUGCUGAGCUAUUCAUUGUUGCACCUGAGAGGUAUAAAGAAUUAGAAAAAAACAUGCAGGGACAGAAACUUUCAUUGUUUGCUACACAGUGUGCUGCAGCAAUCAGUGCAGAUCCAGAAACAGAGG